GACGAACGCUGGCGGCGUGCUUAACACAUGCCAGUCGAACGGAAAGGCCCAGCUUGCUGGGUGCUCGAGUGGCGAACGGGUGAGUAACACGUGGGUGAUCUGCCUCUAACUUCGGGAUAAGCUUGGCAAACUGGGUCUAAUACCGGAUAGGACAAUCGUUUAGUGUCGGUUGUGGAAAGUUUUUUCGGUUAGGGAUGAGCCCGCGGCCUAUCAGCUUGUUGGUGGGGUAAUGGCCUACCAAGGCGUCGACGGGUAGCCGGCCUGAGAGGGUGGACGGCCACAUUGGGACUGAGAUACGGCCCAGACUCCUACGGGAGGCAGCAGUGGGGAAUAUUGCACAAUGGGCGCAAGCCUGAUGCAGCGACGCCGCGUGGGGGAUGACGGCCUUCGGGUUGUAAACCUCUUUCGACAGGGACGAAGCUUUGGUGACGGUACCUGUAUAAGAAGCACCGGCUAACUACGUG
rnacentral:rRNA from 1 species